rnacentral:rRNA from 1 species
AGAGUUUGAUCCUGGCUCAGAACGAACGCUGGCGGCAGGCUUAACACAUGCAAGUCGAGCGCCCCGCAAGGGGAGCGGCAGACGGGUGAGUAACGCGUGGGAACGUACCUUUUGCUACGGAAUAACUCAGGGAAACUUGUGCUAAUACCGUAUGUGCCCUUCGGGGGAAAGAUUUAUCGGCAAAGGAUCGGCCCGCGUUGGAUUAGCUAGUUGGUGAGGUAAAGGCUCACCAAGGCGACGAUCCAUAGCUGGUCUGAGAGGAUGAUCAGCCACACUGGGACUGAGACACGGCCCAGACUCCUACGGGAGGCAGCAGUGGGGAAUAUUGGUCAAUGGGCGGAAGCCUGAACCAGCCAUGCCGCGUGCGGGAAGAAGGCGCUACGCGUCGUAAACCGCUUUUGUCCGGGGGUAACCGCGGGGACGAGUCCCCGCCUGCAAGUACCGGACGAAUAAGGGUCGGCUAACUCCGUGCCAGCAGCCGCGGUAAUACGGAGGACCCGAGCGUUAUCCGGAUUCAUUGGGUUUAAAGGGUGCGCAGGCGGCCCGGUCAGUCAGCGGUGAAAUGCCCGCGCUCCACGCGGGAGCUGCCGUUGAUACUGCCGGGCUGGAGUCUUAGCGAGGCGGGCGGAAUGCGCGGUGUAGCGGUGAAAUGCAUAGAUAUCGCGCAGAACGCCGAUUGGGGAGCCAGCUCGCCAGCUGAGUACUGACGCUGAGGCACGAAAGCGUGGGGAUCGAACAGGAUUAGAUACCCUGGUAGUCCACGCAGUAAACGAUGAUUACUGGUUGUUUGCGAUACAAUGCAAGCGACUGAGCGAAAGCGUUAAGUAAUCCACCUGGGGAGUACGUUCGCAAGAAUGAAACUCAAAGGAAUUGACGGGGGCCCGCACAAGCGGAGGAACAUGUGGUUUAAUUCGAUGAUACGCGAGGAACCUUACC